rnacentral:rRNA from 1 species
UACAGAGGGUGCAAGCGUUGUUCGGAAUUAUUGGGCGUAAAGCGCGUGUAGGCGGCUUGGCAAGUCAGAUGUGAAAGCCCAUGGCUCAACCAUGGAAGUGCGUCUGAAACUGCCGAGCUUGAGUACCGGAGAGGAUGGCGGAAUUCCGCAAGUAGAGGUGAAAUUCGUAGAUAUGCGGAGGAACACCGGUGGCGAAGGCGGCCAUCUGGACGGUCACUGACGCUGAGAAGCGAAAGCGUGGGUAGCAAACAGG